AUUGAACGCUGGCGGCAGGCCUAACACAUGCAAGUCGAGCGGAUGAAGGGAGCUUGCUCCUGGAUUCAGCGGCGGACGGGUGAGUAAUGCCUAGGAAUCUGCCUGGUAGUGGGGAUAACGUCCGGAAACGGGCGCUAAUAACGCAUACGUCCUGAGGGAGAAAGUGGGGGGUCUUCGGACCUCACGCUAUCCGAUGAGCCUAGGUCGGAUUAGCUAGUUGGUGGGGUAAAGGCCUACCAAGGCGACGAUCCGUAACUGGUCUGAGAGGAUGAUCAGUCACACUGGAACUGAGACACGGUCCAGACUCCUACGGGAGGCAGCAGUGGGGAAUAUUGGACAAUGGGCGAAAGCCUGAUCCAGCCAUGCCGCGUGUGUGAAGAAGGUCUUCGGAUUGUAAAGCACUUUAAGUUGGGAGGAAGGGCAGUAAGUUAAUACCUUGCUGUUUUGACGUUACCAACAGAAUAAGCACCGGCUAACUUCGUG
rnacentral:rRNA from 1 species